AGUGAACGCUGGCGGUAGGCCUAACACAUGCAAGUCGAACGGCAGCACAGUAAGAGCUUGCUCUUACGGGUGGCGAGUGGCGGACGGGUGAGGAAUACAUCGGAAUCUACUUUUUCGUGGGGGAUAACGUAGGGAAACUUACGCUAAUACCGCAUACGACCUACGGGUGAAAGCAGGGGAUCUUCGGACCUUGCGCGAUUGAAUGAGCCGAUGUCGGAUUAGCUAGUUGGCGGGGUAAAGGCCCACCAAGGCGACGCUCCGUAGCUGGUCUGAGAGGAUGACCGGCCACACUGGAACUGGAACACGGUCCAGACUCCUACGGGAGGCAGCAGUGGGGAAUAUUGGACAAUGGGCGCAAGCCUGAUCCAGCCAUACCGGGUGGGUGAAGAAGGCUUUCGGGUUGUAAAGCCCUUUUGUUGGGAAAGAAAAACAGCAGGUUAAUACCCCGCUGUUCUGACGGUACCCAAAGAAUAAGCACCGGCUAACUUCGUG
rnacentral:rRNA from 1 species